rnacentral:rRNA from 1 species
GACGAACGCUGGCGGCGUGCCUAAUACAUGCAAGUUGAGCGCUGAAGGUUGGUACUUGUACCGACUGGAUGAGCAGCGAACGGGUGAGUAACGCGUGGGGAAUCUGCCUUUGAGCGGGGGACAACAUUUGGAAACGAAUGCUAAUACCGCAUAAAAACUUUAAACACAAGUUUUAAGUUUGAAAGAUGCAAUUGCAUCACUCAAAGAUGAUCUCGCGUUGUAUUAGCUAGUUGGUGAGGUAAAGGCUCACCAAGGCGAUGAUACAUAGCCGAACUGGGAGGGGGAUCGGCCACAAUUGGACUUGGAAACGGCCCAAAAUCCCUAGGGAAGCAGCAGUAGGGAAACUUCGGGAAAGGAGGAAAGUCUGACCGGGCCAAGCCACGGGAGUGAAGAAGGUUGUCGGGUCGGAAAACUCUGUUGGUAGAGAAGAACGUUGGUGAGAGUGGAAAGCGCAUCAAGUGACGGUAACUAACCAGAAAGGGACGGCUAACUACGUG